UACGUAGGGAGCAAGCGUUGUCCGGAAUUACUGGGCGUAAAGGGUGCGUAGGCGGCUAUGCAAGUCAGAUGUGAAAUCCCCGGGCUUAACUCGGGUGGUGCAUUUGAAACUGCGUGGCUUGAGUGCAGGAGAGGAAAGUGGAAUUCCUAGUGUAGCGGUGAAAUGCGUAGAUAUUAGGAGGAACACCAGUGGCGAAGGCGACUUUCUGGACUGUUACUGACACUGAGGCACGAAAGCGUGGGGAGCAAACAGG
rnacentral:rRNA from 1 species